UACGUAGGAUGCAAGCGUUGUCCGGAUUUAUUGGGUUUAAAGGGUGCGUAGGCGUCCUAUUAAGUUAGUGGUGAAAACGUUCGACUUAACCGAAUACCCGCCAUUGAUACUGAUAGACUUGAGUGCGACAGAGGGUGUUGGAAUGUGUGGUGUAGCGGUGAAAUGCUUAGAUAUCACGCAGAACACCAAUUGCGAAGGCAGAUGCCUAUGUCGUAACUGACGCUGAGGCACGAAAGCGUGGGGAGCAAACAGG
rnacentral:rRNA from 1 species